GCUACACAUGCAGUCGAGCGGCAGCACGGGUACUUGUACCUGGUGGCGAGCGGCGGACGGGUGAGUAAUGCCUAGGAAUCUGCCUAGUAGUGGGGGAUAACGUCCGGAAACGGGCGCUAAUACCGCAUACGUCCUACGGGAGAAAGUGGGGGAUCUUCGGACCUCACGCUAUUAGAUGAGCCUAGGUCGGAUUAGCUAGUUGGUGAGGUAAUGGCUCACCAAGGCGACGAUCCGUAACUGGUCUGAGAGGAUGAUCAGUCACACUGGAACUGAGACACGGUCCAGACUCCUACGGGAGGCAGCAGUGGGGAAUAUUGGACAAUGGGCGAAAGCCUGAUCCAGCCAUGCCGCGUGUGUGAAGAAGGUCUUCGGAUUGUAAAGCACUUUAAGUUGGGAGGAAGGGCAGUUACCUAAUACGUGAUUGUUUUGACGUUACCGACAGAAUAAGCACCGGCUAACUCUGUGCCAGCAGCCGCGGUAAUACAGAGGGUGCAAGCGUUAAUCGGAAUUACUGGGCGUAAAGCGCGCGUAGGUGGUUUGUUAAGUUGGAUGUGAAAGCCCCGGGCUCAACCUGGGAACUGCAUCCAAAACUGGCAAGCUAGAGUAUGGUAGAGGGUGGUGGAAUUUCCUGUGUAACGGUGAAAUGCGUAGAUUAUGGAAGGAAACACCAGUGGCGAAAGGCGAACC
rnacentral:rRNA from 1 species